AGUUGGCGUAUGGCGGACUGU
rnacentral:siRNA from 1 species